rnacentral:pre_miRNA from 1 species
CGGGGGAGGCAGGAUCCUGGUCUGUGUCCCGGCGCCCUGGGCUCGGGGCCUGCGCUGUUGGAUUCGUUCCCCCCCGGAAGCCCCUU